UAUACUGCUAUUAUAAUCUAUUUCAAGACGCACCCUUUUCUUUAAGCAUCAAAUUAUUUGAACUGAUCGUGCUAUUUGGUAAACAAUGACAUAGAUGGUGGGGGGACUACAGUCAACUUUAAAUAUAGGGGAGUCGUCAAUGUGGCCAUCUUUUACGCGACAGUGAAAGUGUAUAAAAGCACGUAGUUGGAUCAGCUGAUAUUUCGAGGGAAUAUCCAAACACGAGCUUGCAAUCGUUUGGUGGAUAAAUAACAUAUAUUUCCUACUUGUCAUCGGUUCUAAUACAUCACAUAACUUGCCUCGGAGCAAAUGACGACCACCAAGUGACAUUGUUCAAUCGGAUCUAUAAAGAGUAGAGUCCCAUUAUGGGUAACGCAGGCAGCAAUCAGCCUGUUAGUCACCACCAUGCCAAUGUUCAUCGAGAUGCUCACCACAGGCACAUCAAAGAUCAUCAUCCACCAUCGUCCCCUGGCAAGGAUGGACAUGCCUUUACUUUUGAUAAGAAACCAAGUACUAAACUCUUGCUUCAAUCUUCACAAGAGGAAGAAGAGCCAUUUUAUACAAAGAAAGAUAAAGAUGAUAAUAAUGAUGUUAAGACCAGAGAUAAUUUUCCUGGUACAAGGCCUCGCUCUAAUACAGUCUCAGAAGGAGCAACUUCUAAAAACACAGAUAGAAAGGUCUUGCCUACUGUGUUCAAGUGGGAGGGUGGUGGCAAACAAGUGUAUAUAAGUGGUACAUUUAAUGACUGGAAAACAUUGCCGAUGGUGAAGAGUCAUGGAGAUUUUGUUACAAUUGUUGAUUUGCCAGAAGGUGAGCACCAGUACAAAUUUUUCGUUGAUGGAGAAUGGAGGCAUGAUCCUGGCCUUAAAAUCGUUGACAAUGGAAUGGGAUCUAAAAAUAACUGUGUAUCUGUCAAAAAAUCCGACUUUGAAGUCUUCCAAGCUCUUGCAAAAGACAGUGAAGGCAUUAUCAGUAGUGCCCAGACAGAGUGGGGCCAAGACAUACCACCACACAAACCAUGGGAGAAAGUUCCUGGUCCACCAAUACUACCGCCCCAUUUACUUCAAGUGAUUCUUAACAAAGAUACGUCUUUAUCUUGUGAACCAACGCUUCUACCAGAACCGAAUCAUGUAAUGUUAAAUCACCUCUACGCAUUAAGUAUUAAAGAUAGUGUAAUGGUGCUUUCAGCAACUCACCGCUAUCGCAAAAAAUACGUGACAACGCUAUUGUACAAGCCAAUCUAAUCCUAACGACAUUAAGGCAUUCAUUCCCACCCUCGCAAGGAACUGCUUAGCUGAUAAACAAAAAAAAGUAUGAUAGGGGUUCAAAUGGAGCAAAUGAAAUAGAGAAUCAACCCUAAGGCUUUUUUAGAUGUACUUUAAAAAAUGAAGUGAUAUGAUAUAUAUGCAGAGUCCGAUUUGUGAGACUAGAAUAUUAAAUUUAUAUAGUACAAAGAAACAAUGGCUUCUUUUAUUCUAUCUCUCACUUCAAACUUCAUUCUCGGCAAAGUCUUCGGUGUAAGCAAAUGGAGGC